GACGAACGCUGGCGGCGUGCUUAACACAUGCAAGUCGAACGGAAAGGCCCUGCUUUUGUUGGGUGCUCGAGUGGCGAACGGGUGAGUAACACGUGAGUAACCUGCCCUUGACUUUGGGAUAACUUCAGGAAACUGGGGCUAAUACCGGAUAGGAGCUCCUGCUGCAUGGUGGGGGUUGGAAAGUUUCGGCGGUUGGGGGUGGACUCGCGGCUUAUCAGCUUGUUGGUGGGGUAGUGGCUUACCAAGGCUUUGACGGGUAGCCGGCCUGAGAGGGUGACCGGCCACAUUGGGACUGAGAUACGGCCCAGACUCCUACGGGAGGCAGCAGUGGGGAAUAUUGCACAAUGGGCGGAAGCCUGAUGCAGCAACGCCGCGUGCGGGAUGACGGCCUUCGGGUUGUAAACCGCUUUCGCCUGUGACGAAGCGUGAGUGACGGUAAUGGGUAAAGAAGCACCGGCUAACUACGUG
rnacentral:rRNA from 1 species